GUCCGGUUUGUGAUGGCCCCGGCGAAAGGAGUCCCGGCCAACCUGGAAGGCAGGAACGGCCGAACACUGUAGGCUAGAUCUUUAUCUUGAUCGUAAAAGACAGUGUUUCCUGAGCAGCUGGAGGG
ensembl:misc_RNA Gm27834 predicted gene, 27834